CGAGUGAGCAGUGGUGGAAUGUAUGAACGCUGUGUCAGUGCUGGUGUCAGGUAGGCUGUUCCUUUGCAGAUUUGACUUUCAGAUAAUUAAACUGUUCUCGGUUUUGUUCUUUUUUUUUUCCUGAUGGUGUAUUCCAGAGUUUGAAGGAGUUCAUAACUUGCAAUACUGUGAAAACGCAAGAAUCAGCUGGAGUGAGGCUGGUGUUUAGCAAGGCAACAAUCUUCUGUUCUCAGGCUGUACUGGGGAUAUUUUUAGGAUAUUGGAUUUCUGCUUAAAUGUGCAGUAUGUACAUUUAUACUAACAAGUUAAAUUCAUCAGAGUCUUGACAUCAGAUUUCCUUUCUUCCCUGUCUCUUCCAUUGAGCUUUCUUUGCAAUUACAAAGCCUUCCUACAACAUAAAGUCUUUUCUCAUGGGAUCACAGAAAAAAUGUUGACAUUUUCUCCUGUCUAGGACUGGUGUACUCUGUGUGUGCUACAGGACAUAGAGAAGCUAGUUUGCUGGCAGGAAUAAACUUGGAGGCUUUUUUCUCCCCAGUUACCCAAUUUAAUGGAGGCUUUUCUUUCCCGUCACUCUAAGGAGCGCUGUCAUCUUGGUUUCUGGUCUGAUGAUGAUAAGACACGAUGAUUACGCCCUCUGGCUCCUGCAGCUCUCCAUCUGUCUUUGUGCACCUUCCUUCUUUGAGAACAUUUGUCCAAAGAUCCUUCUUCCUGCCUGCUGUGUCCUCCUUGCCGUGGUGGUGACUUCACUCACUGAAGGCACAAAUGCUGAAGCUGCCUAUUUUGUGCUUGGAAAGUGCUGAUCCAAGCAGUAGAAUAUUCAGAUUCUCUGAAGCAAAAUUGAUAACACCUAGGCCAUUCCCAAUGGCUCUUCACGUGUUUUCCUUUUUAAGUUUGCUGCUAAGAUUCCAUGGGCUAUUCCAGCACUUAAAUACUCCUACCUGUGGAACAUAAAUAUGUGCCAUUCUUUCCCUACAGCUAGCCUGUUACUGCUUCAUCUGUCUUGGUCAGUACACGUAGAGAUCUGUCUGCUUCAAAGGGAUCCAUUAUGCCUACCUCCAGCUUUCCCUUUCUAGACUAAGCAAAUCACAUUCUUCUCAUUACUCACAAUUAAAGGAUAGCUGAGGUUGGAAGGGACCUCUGCAGGUCACCUAGUGAAUUCUUCAAAGUGGGGCAAUGAGAGCAAGUUAGGCAGGACACUGUCGGUCGCUGCUGAAUAUCUCCUGAGCAUGAAGAUUACUCGGCGUCCCUGCGUAACCUGUCCUGGUGUCUGAUCAGCCCCACAGCAAAAAGAUUUUCCUCUUAUACUUCAACAGAUUUACUCGUGCUUCAGUACGUGCCCAUUGCAUGUUGCCCUGUCACUGGACACCAUGGAGAAGAGCUCUGUUCUCUUCCCCCAUCAGUAUUCGUACAUUGAUAAAAUACAUAAUACUGUUGGAUUUGGAGAUCAUAGCAGUAAAAACUGCUGUUUUGUUCCACAGCAAGAGAAAUGUACACAACUGCUGUACUGUGGGAUGUUUUCCUUUUAAUGGAAUGCUCUGCGAGUCAUUUCAGUCUCUGUAUCAGGUUCUACAUAAAAAGCCUUUUCAUCUGCGAAAUGACAUGUCAGGAACGGCUGCUGAAGAAUGAGAAAUAGGGUUUUCUCUCUUCUUGAUACAAACGGUUUGCUCAUUUCAAUCUUUGUUCAUGAAUCUGAACUUAAAUAUAUAUAUAUUUAUAUGAAGAAGAAUAAAAGAUCUAGCUCAGUGGCAAUGGAUUUUUCCUAGGAAAAAAUCCUGCUUCUGACUGCAGUGGAGAGGUUGAAAUCCAUUAGAUCUACCUAAAAGACAGAACUCAAGCCUCUGACAUCAGACUGCAGUUACCAGUGGCUUGGAUGAAAUGCUUAUCAAGGAAGCUUCUAUAAAUGGGAGAAGUAGCAAAGCUGAACGGGAUUGGCACGUGGUGGUCAGGACUGAGUGGUUCCACUCAGAAAGGUUCAAGUCCUCAUCUCACUUUCUUACAGAAAAAACACAAGUGAUCCUUAGCUUUAAAAAUAAUUUUUAAAAAGCCUAUCUUUUGACUGAGAAAAUGCUCGUUUAAAUCCUUGCCAUCAUGAGGGGCUUCUUUUUCUGUCUGUAAAAUGGGAAUGUCUCUUCCAUCCUGCCGAGAAGAGUAAGUGAAUGCUCCCUACUGGAAUCUACAGCGGAUACGGUCUUGUGGUGUGUUCGGCAGAGCCUUCUGUCACAGCAGGAAGAAAUCCUGCCACAAUGUGGAGCUAAUGCUUCUGAAGUCAUUUGGAGCCGUACUUGGAUUUUGUGCUGCUCAGGGUCUGUCACACUGUGUACUGGGCAGAAAGUGGGAGUGAGGAGCAUUGUGGGUGUUCAGUGGUGAUGGAACAGGUGUGGCCAUUGUAAGUCCCUCUGCUUCGACAGCUGUGCUAAUGGACCUUCUGCUGUGGCUUCCUGCCAAGGGCUUAAAUGAACUAAGGACCUUUCAGGUUUCAAAGUACACCUGUUGCUAUGUUCUCGAGGCUGGUGCACAUGUACAGUGCAGCUGAUUACAGGCUGACGGGGAGGCUGGGGGGCCGGGCUGCACGACACGCUGUCUGCUGCAGCUGGAGACUGUCGGGAGCUCCUCUGGUGUCGACGCAUCCCGGCCGGCAGAGUGCUGCCUGCUGCUCUGCAGCGCUGCCUGUGCCGAAUCGGCUCCGAGGGGGAAUUCCUCUGUGCCGCCGGUGAGCAACCCCUGGGGUGUUCUGCUGUACUGCUGAUGCUUAGCAUAUGGAAGCUGAGAAACAGAUGUAUGCGAUGAGGGCCGCUCUGACGAUCGUCUGUCAAACCAUGGGCAGCACCAGGAGGAGCACCCCGGGUCUUCUGGCUCUCUGUAGCCCACCCUGAGCACUGCAGCCUGCCUUCUGCUGCACAUGGUGUGAUUCAUAAUGCAGAGGCUCUGCUGUAAGCUGGCUGCCUCUUUGUGAGCUGCCACUGCUGCAGCAGAGAAAAGCGUUUGAGCUCAGGCAGCAAAGAGAUUGUGCAUGUCUAGCAAAUAGUCAGAACUCCAGAAACAGUGCUUAACAGAUUAUCUUAUCUUGGGAUAAUCUCAUAAAGCAUACUGACUGGUUAAAACUACGCUUUGAAGUUUGCAGCAAACAUCUCAAAUCUUUACCCUUUGUGACUGUGGGCUUUUUGUUUGUUGUUUCCUCCAUUGUCUGUACAAAAAUACCACUUCACGUAUUCUUUUUGAUAGUCUGUGUUCUAGCCUUUCUGGAAAAGUACCAAAUCAUUAAUGGGUAUUCGUUGCUUUUAGUUGUGCUUCUCAGUGCUAACCCUAUUCCUGCUAUUUGCAGUUUGUUUAGGCUAUGUUUAGGCACAUGCAAAUGUAAGUGGUUAUUCAGCGCCUUUGGCGUUCUGAACAGAAUGUCCUGAACUCCCGUGGCUCCUUACAAAGCCUCAGCCUCCAGCACUAACAAAGCCUGUGACGGCAGCAGCUGAAGCAUGAGAACUACCUGCCCUCGACAGGGUGAAUUCGGAGAAUCUGGGAAGGUUGUAGACCAUGAUCUCAUGCAUGCUCUGCCUGCAGCACUGGAGCUGGGCUGAUGCAGCAUUGCAUGCGGUGUGUGGAUUCUUCUGCAGCAUGAAGUUUUUCUCUGGCUGCAUCAACACUUGGGUUCAGUGUGUUCCUGAAUUAUAAUGGAGACUUCUACAAAUAAUGCAGUAACUGGAAGUGAAGCGAAACCGUGUGAUGCUGCGGCCUCCCAAGUAUCUGCUGGCAGCAGCCUGGGAUUUUUACAGUUGUUUAUCUUGUUGCUCAGCCUAUUUUAAGCUCUGGUGGACCAACAACAGCAGAGUAACGACAGAUCACAGUGCUGGGCACAACUGUUUAGCUCCUAAAACCCAUGCUUUAAGCUUCAGACUUGCUUUAUAUUGUCAUGUGUUCAGUAGCUUCAGACUUGUGGCUUCAGGCUCGUAUGCUCUUUGCUGGCUCUUGCAUGAUGUGAGGGAGCCCUGAUUCACCCCGAGGAGUGUGGUGUAUCCAGGCAAGAAAGAGGCUGCAGCAGUGAUGGAAAGCGCACGCUGUGCAGGGCAGGGCCCAACCUCAUCCUUGGUCCAGCUCCCACGAUGGAGAUACAAAGAGGUUUUUAUCUCCCAAGUCUUCUUAUUGGAUCUUCUUUAUCAUCUGUUCAUUUGUGCCAGAGUCAAUUAAUUUCUUGGGUUUACUGAGUAGGUAGUACACUGUGUAAGACUUUAAUAGGGAGCAGUAUAGGAUAAAUCUCUCCUAUCCUGGAAAUGAUUCAGCUUCUAAUGCUGAUUCUGUACUCAUCUGACUCUGGUACACUGAUUACAUGGUCUCCUACCACACAAAAUAUUCUAGAAGUGGUGCUCUGCAUUUUCCUCUGUCUCCAGACUUGGGACUUCUGAGAGCAGCUUGUCCUGCAGGCUCAGCUCCCUGUUUUUUGGUGGAUUAGGUGCAUUUGUGGUUACUGACAAGUUUAGGUUCAUUGCAUUUGCUUUAACGCUGUGUGGAGCAGGACAGAAAGCUUGUUGAUUCUUGUAAUGAUGGAGCCACAUAAUGGAUGGAGCCAGGACAGGAAUGUUCCCCAUCUGGGGGGAAAAGCAGAACCGUCAGUGUCAUGAAGUCAUGCUGGGGAGUAAAAGGAAGUGCACAGCUGGAGAGGUGGGACAGAGGGGAGGUGGGGGGAUGUGAUGGCUGUACCUCAUCUACUUCAGGUAAUCACCACAAAAGCUCAGGAAAGUAAAUUGCCAAGCUUGUUUCCUUACCCUCACUUCACAUUUUUGUGUGGUAAAGGAAAUCACAGGGCAUUUAGCUGCUCCGUUUCAUACGGCUACUUUUCAAGCCCUGUGCAGAUAACUAAUACUCAAAAUAUUAACACAGAUUUGCUGUAAUUUGAAAUCCAGUUUCUACCCAUACAUUGUCCUACCCUUGGGUUAUAAUGGCUAAACUUUCAUCAGAACUCACCCUUUAUUUUGUUUCCAAACUGCUGAUGCACAUGCCUGUCAGGGGCAGCUGUGCACUGCAGGCAUACACAGAAGACAUGGAGGGCAGGAGCAGACCUCUGCAGCUGGGAGUCCGUGCUGGGGCCUCUGGGCACUGUGCAAAUUGGCUCCAGGGACCUCGUGUGUGUGUGAAAGGAAAUCAUGUUCUGCACCGAAGUAAGAUCAUGGCUACUGAAAUCUCUAUGCUGCGUGCAAUGCAGAUUAGGAAGAAAUCCGGAGCAGCUGUUACAUUACAGGAAACUGCAGUUCGUCCUGUCGUGGCCUAAGAGCUUGUUACUGUGGGUGCUGUUUUCCCCAGAAGAGCCUUGCAUGCAGGCAGCAGGCAAACUGCUGCAGUUCAGCCCAGUGCAGGUCUGUAAGACCCCCAGUGCUGGCUUUUCAGUCACUGAAGCAAUCUUGUUGAACCAACUUUAAUGAGAAACCUAAACAAUUUGUUCAUUUAAAAAUCUGCCUAAUUGUGUCUGUUCUAGAAUGCAGCCAAAUGAACCAAAAGUAGUGCGAACAGCAAGUUAUCUUGUUCUUUGCUGGGCUGAUCAUGGAGAAAGAGAGAGAGAGAAUUUGCUGCUGUCUCCUCUGCACCGCUGAGCUCAUGCCUGGGACAGCUGCACAUCGUGGGCCCAGGAGGGCACUGAGUGUUUCAGUCCUCCACAGCUCUGAAGCCACGCUCAAACCAUGCAGUAGCAGGGAGAGGAGAUCCCAGAGUGGGGGUCCCGCGGCCAUCUGCCCUACCUGCUCUUCCCAGCAGCAGCACAGCCUCAAUCCAGCCCCUCGGAAAGGAAGAAAAACACACUUUUUGCCCUCAGAAACUAGGAAAAGCCAAAGAAAUCUCUCUUUAGGACAAGGCCGAUGCUGUAUCCUGUCUUGUUUUUACUAAGUCAGAUCUUUUUUUCCACUGGAUCUUACUCUCGUGUGUGUUUUGUUGCUGUGUCCUUCUGUUGUUUUCAGCUUUCUGCCGCAAGAUGUGGAACUGUCAGAUUCCCAAUCAGAUCAACACCUUUAGGAUUUGUUUGACUUCCAAUACGCCUUCCUGAAGUUAUUGCUGACUAACGCUGUGAAAUCAUCAGUUUUUUAUUUUGAAUGUCUAAAACACCGUAAGAUUUCUUGAGGCUACUUCUCACAAAGAGAUUGCAGUUGGUGUCCUUUGCUCAUUAUUACAGGAUGUGAGUCAUUUUGAAGAAAGAGGGGGGGGAGGACAAACAAAAACCCUAUUUUUCUCAAAGCUCUGAAAAUAUAUUUUGUCCCUGAUCUGAGCUGUAGUUUGAUGUGAAUAUGAGAGAAGCCAGGGCUGGCUGGGAGCUCUGCUGGCCCUGAGAUGCACAGAGCACGUGUCCUGCAGCAGCUGGCUGUGGGGUGAUGGCCCUCCUUACUCAGAGGAUGGGUACAUCCCUGGGCUGUAAUGUGAUAUAUCUUGAGCAGCUGAACACUUUGGAGCUUGCGAAGAACAAUACAGAGGGGCUGGAUUUUGUUGCGUUUUGAGCUCUUCCUGGAGAAAACAAAUGGAGUACUGUGGGUAUUUUUUUUUUAUUUGUGUAAUCUUGAGGCAGAGUAUCACAUAUUGCAGAGGAUGAUUGAAGCAGACAACGUUUGUGCUGGUUCCCAGUAUGGAAAAUGUGAACAAGACAAUUCUGCAUCACCUUUCCUUUCUGGGACCUGUGAGUACUGUCAGUGUUGCUGCUAUUUUAACUCAAGGACUGCUGCUCUGUGUGGUGUCAGUGCCAUUGCUCUGCAUGGAGAAGUGUCACCUUCCCAGGGGUGCAGCACAUGGGACCUCUUGCACUCCUCUGCCUGUCUCGGGUUCCUCAUGCUGUGCCCAUAUCGUGCCCUGUUCAAGCCAGGAGGGCACAAAGGGACCAAAGGGCUCAGCAGUGGAGAAGGAUAUAAUGUAAGCAAAGGGAGAUGAGGCGCAGGUCUGAGUAGUCGUGUGAGUGGCAGCCAGGGGAGGCCAGGGCACCUUCAUGGUGCCAAAACCUUUCUGCGGCUGUGCCUAGCACCCUGUGCUGAGGAAAGAGCAGACUUCUGGAACUGUUCUCCUGUUCUUCUGGAUGGCGACAAGUGUGGCUGCUGUAGUGGUACAUUGUGCAAGGCCAGAGAGCCACCCCUUCCUCAUCAGACCUGGAAAAACCUGGCUGAUGCUGAAGAAAUCUGUCCCAGUCACGUUCCCAGCAGCCAGCGCUGCUGGGGUCAGAUUCUUUGCUCUGGCAAGCUCACAGGGGCACGUGGAAGGCUAUCAGCAAGCUCAUCUGCUGCAGCUAUCAGCUCUGUGAAGCUCAUGGUACCCAACCAGAUGUGAUAUUUUAGUGGUAGACAAUACAGUGCCAGUAGGUGGAGUCUGUAAGGAUAAAAUGGCCAGCUGAAUUCUGCCAAUGGAGGACUUACCCAUGUGAAAGACAGCAACUACUUGCUGGAAGCAGCUAGAAGAUGCAGAACUCUCAGACAGCCUUUUAGUUUCUGAACUGACUUGGAAGCACCAAAACAUUAACAGAACUUACAGGCUCUUAUUAAGGUUACUUUUUCUUGCUACAGUCUCAGGCAGAGGCACAGGUUUUUCAGAGCAUAUACCUACAAUAAAAGUCCUUUGUGUAUUUGCCAUCAUAAUGACAACAGCAUCAGGCUUGACUGAAAAGCAGUUCGGGUGUGCAGGAGCUUCCCUUUCCUGGACCGAUGGGUUCUUAAUGUCAGCAGAGUCGCCUCAUCUCCACUCAUCUCAUUAUCCAGCUUACUCAGCUGUGAUGCAACCAAAAUUGCCCUAUGGCUUGUUACCUCAGAAGUCUCCAAAAGCUCAUGGGCUGUGUACUCUAUGAAGAGAAGUAGUGAUUCAGUGCUAAAACUGGCAGAGGCUGCCCUUGCUUCAUAUUAGAGCUUGUUCCUCUGUGUGCGCACACUCACGCGUAUCUCCUCUCUGGCACCUUAUCUCUCUCUUCUCUUUAGUGCUUUAUCUCACUUCUGCUCUUUAGUGCCCAUUAUCUCUUGUUGGCUUUCUGUAUUACAGGGUGUAGGGACACUCUUUGGGAGGAGUGCUGUGAAUCAACCUCAUCUGUCAUCUCCAGGAGAGCGUCUGUAGGGUGAGGCGUGUUUCACAUGAGUAUGCUCCUCCUCCUACUGCCGUGCAACGUACACACAGCCUUCCUUACUGCUGGCUGCUGGAGCACAUCAUGUACUUCGGUCUCUUUGCUUGGAGUGUUUUUGGCAAUAACUGGAGCUAAGUUACCCUGCUGCCGGCUGCCUGCAGUUCCACCACCCUGUUCAUUUGUAUCCUCCCUUUAAUGAACAAGAGAAUACUUACGAAAAUACAGUUGAUGAGUUUCUUAAUCACCUGUCUGUAAAUCACUUUCCUUCUCUGAUUUGUAAUUUCUCUAUGCUUUUUUCCAUCUUUCAUGUAGUGACCCUGGUUCUCCUCCUGUUUUUCAGCAGCAUGACUCUACUGCACACAAAGAGAUGAUGGAGGGGUUGGGCUGGUAUAAGUAAGGAAGACCCAGUCCACAGGUAGUUUUGUGCUUUUACAGCUACCUGAAGUAAUGUGAGGAAAUGGCUGUUGUCACACGCUCACGUUUCUGCAUUCUGUUGGCUGAGUUUGGGGGAAUUAUGUAGAGCAGUUGCACUGCAGCAAGCAGUGUGCUAGUGGAAGACUCUCCUGUGCUUCUGUGGCUUCAGGAAACUCAUCUGCUAAACUGGGAGCUGGUGGGCAGAACUGAUCCCGGUGCCGUUGCAGUGCAGUGUCACUGCCUGUGGAUGGCUGCCCUCAGCCAGCAGUUGCAGCAGAUGAAUAGCUGGCAGGAAGGUAACAAGCAACAAACAGACACCGCCUCGUGGCUGUUUUCCCAGUGCCCAGAUGUAUGGUGUGCUCCGGGACGAUGGGGACCUCCCUCUCUGCUGCAGUAGACACAUCUAUUAUUAGCUCAGUGGCAGCUUUCCAUAUGCCAACACUCGUGUCUGCAGGACUGUUUAAUUUUCACUUCUCCAAAGUACUUAAUUUGUCAGCUGUUGGCUUCUGUUCAUUAAAGACCAAACUUCAAAUUCCUCUAUUUUUUUCUGCUGGAGCUGAAUUACAGAUCCUAUCUGAACAGACCAUCGUACCUAUGCAGAAUUAGGGGCAGGAUGAUGUCUUAAAUCCAGAAAGUCAGCCUAAGGCUACUACCAGGAAAAAAAAAAAACCUGUCUCUGGAAAUGGCCGCCCAGUCUCCAUUUUUCUGUUAAUUUCCAUUCGGAGAAAGGAGAAAUCAGUUCUGCCAAAAGCACUCCCUAGCUGUGCUUCGGUGCCGGGCUGGGGAUGUGGCACACAGCUGCCAGUGCCCCUCUGCAGGCGCUGCCACUUCUCUGGUGGCUGAGGAUGGUGCUGCCAUGAGUUAAUCACCCACCAAUUCACUGCUGGGGGCCUCUCUUUAAUUAUUGAAUGUCACAAUAGAGGUAUAUUGCAUUACCUUGCUGGUAAAUAUCAUUUUCAGCAUCUCAUGUAACUCUAUAAUAUUCUCAGUUUUCCUACUUGCAUAACAUUAAAUCUUCAAAGAAUCUAAAAAUGUCCCACUAUAUUUUUAUAUGUUGCUUAUAUAGCAGUGUGUGUUUCCAGAGAAUUAUAUGCUGACUUUGAAGAUGGCCUUCCUGGCAGUUGGUACUGUAUGAUUACUUCUGUUGAAAGCCGGGCCUCUACUUGGAUGUGCAGUGGAAGGAAGCAGCAUGUGCACAGUGCUUUAUCAAGCAAAUGGACAAACACACCCCAGAACAGCAGCCAAAUGUCGGUCUCACUUACAGAAGCUGAACUGGUGUGAUCGUACAUCAGCUCUGUUUCAGCUGGGGUAACAGAGAGCAGAGAUUCUGGUGCCUUAAGGAUCCCUCUGAGAGAAGACCACUGAGAAAAGAUGUCAAUGCUCCGCAGCAGCUGGGGGGUAGGCAGUGAAAUCCUUCUGUGAGCUAUAUAUCCACCUUGCCUUUUUCUGCUCACGCAUAAUUUUAAGCAGCACGCUUCCUCAGAAUGAUUGUAGGGUUGAUGAAUAUGACUGUCAAAAUAUAUACAAAAUUGAGUUACAAUAUAAUGUAGCUUUUGGAUGUUAAACAGUCUCAAAUAACAAGCAUUCCUAUAUUAUUUUUUCUUAUGUGAGGAAAAACCUCUUUGAUUUUCACUGCUUUGAAAAAUCUCCUUGUGCUGCUCCUUCCCUUCCCAAGGAAGGAAAACGUGAGCGGUAAUGGGUAUCCUGCUCUGCUCCAUCCAGAGGACGUGGAAAGCUUCGUGCCAGCUCCUCUGGAUGCCCGUGAGUGCUUCUGAUCCCGCAGCAUCCUUCAGCUGAAAGCUGGUGGGCCCUGGAGCCCAGCACUGCCUGGUGCUGCCCUGCUCUGUGAUCCUGGUGCUAUUCUGGCAGCUGCAGGAGGACAGCACUCCUCCACCUGCUUGUGUUUCAGGGUGAGAUGUUGUUAUCUGUAUUCCUACUCCCCAACUACUGAGAAUGAACGAUCUUUGUUACUUGGUGUGGAUCUUUUUGUCUUUUGGAGAUCAUCUGUUUGAGUUUGUGAGGAAUGUGCUUCCUUUGUCAUCGCUCGCCUUGCUCCACAGGAGUGGUUUGUUUCCAAGGACCUGAUAUUAGAUUUUGGUGGUCAGCAAAACCUGGUACCCAGCUGUUGUAGCCCAAGCUCUGGCUGACAUUUCCUGCAGCGACUGCAACAUGCAGUUCUGGUCCUGCAGUGCACAACACAAGAAAAGCCUUCUGUGUCCACGCAGAGCUUUACUGCAGACAGCUGACACAGCACACGGAGUCUGGGGGCAAGAGGAAAAGUCCCCACGUGUAUCUGUUACCUUUUGUAUUCUGCAGCAAUGCAAACAAGUGCCGGCGUUUGUCCUCACUCCUCUCCCUCAGCUCUGCUGUUAUGAACCCAUCGAAGGCGGUAGAUCUGCAGUGGGUGACAAAGGGGCUGCACAGCCCAUGGCCAUUUGUUUCUGCAAAAUCAUCUGGAUAAUGGAGGCUCCACCGUCGAUGCAGUUUAUAUCGAAACACCAACUGGGGAAAGAGGAUUUCUCAUUCCUUACUGUGCAAGAGGAAUAAAACAGCUUUCAUCUAAUUUUCCAAAUGGUGCUGAUUCCACGAGGGCCUGCUGGCAAUGUACGAAGGACCUGGGAGGAAAGGCGAUGCCGCGGUCCAUGGAACAUCUUUGCAUUUCAGAGUUCGAGAGGAGUCACAGUGCCGUCUGAUGCCAGGCAGGCACACGCGCAGCCCGCGCCCACGCAUCGCGCCCAUGGCGGCGGCGGCGCCCCGCGUUCCGGAGCCAGGAGGGCGGAGGGGUGGGGGGGGCGGGCAGCGCUGCUGGAGCUGCUGGCGGAGGGCUCCAUCUACUGCUGCGCAGAGAGAAUGCUAAGGUAGCUGCCGCGGCUUUCUCUUUUCCUCUCCCCGCGGUGAAAGGCUGCUCGAUGCCGUGCCCUCUUCUCGCCCCUCUUCUUACUUUGCCGUUUAGAGCCUCCCUCUCCAAAAGCCGUCCCCUGCCCAGGGCACUGCGGGGGUUCGCAGGUGGGGACGGUCCGCACCCAGCUGUCGUUAAGCAGGAGGCAGACAAAGGACGGAGAAAAGUGGCACGGGAACAAAGUGGUUUUUCCAUCCAUGUACGGAAUCAGGAGCAGGAACUGGCCGUGAUUUCUGGGCCCUGUCUCUGGUAGGAGAGGGUUCGCUGCAAAGGCUGCAGAGGUAUUUGGGAGGACUGCAGACAGCGCUUGCUCUAGAGAUGCAGAAGUGAAGUCCAGGAUGUGCGCAGUGCUGUGGCUCUGCUUUGUUUGCUGUGGUGUUAUUUCUGAAAUUGCUGUAUUUUAGACAGUCAGGGAAGAGCUCCUCGUGCAAAUACACAUAGGUCAGAACUGAGCCCUACACAAAACCAGAUCCCUCUUCUACAUGGCCCAGGGCUGCAAGGACGUGUGGGGAUAUGUCUGGGUGUGAAUUCUGCAUGACAUUUUCCCUUCAGUACUUUGAACUAAUGUUCCACUCUGCCCUUUGGAUUAUGCUUUUAAUAGUGGUAAUGCAGACCCAAAGCGGAGUAUUUUCCACUGACCUUUACUAUUGCAAGUGGCAAACCAAGGGCUGCUGUUCACAUGCCAGUUGUGCUGGCCUGAGGCACACGUUAUAUAUAACCACUGCUGGCCAGUUUGAAUUGUUCAUAAAAGAACAAAGGAGUUCAGUUCUAGAAAAAAAAAAAUCAGAAAAAUUCAGGAUUUGUAACGUGACCGUGUGUUUUACAAAUAAAAAGCACUGGUUUCCAUUGCAAGUGAUUAUCUGACUCUAAAACACCAUUACUCUGUGCUUACAGGGAGCAUCAGAAGGUUCUAGAUUCUUAGAUUCCCACGAGGACUUAACUGGUGAUCAGUCCGUGCUGGUGUCAGGAAGAGUUCGUGUUCACAUUGCUUAACUGUGAGAGCUCAUCUGAAGUCAUGGGAAUGGACGAUUUGGACUGGAGUUCAGCCUGGCACAGCAGAGAACAGUUCUGUCCCCAGUGCUUUCCAUCUUUCUUGGUGACACAUCCCCACAGCUCCCCGGUACGCCCACUGGCACCACAUCUGUGCUCCUUGGUCUGCCUUAAAAAUGUACUCAAUGGUGAUUUUUUUAUUUUUAUUUUUUUGACUGAGUUCUUCCUUACCACGAAACUGAAUCGCCCACUCCUCGGAGGUAAAAAUGGGGCUCUGAACUCAAGAAAGAUGAUUGGGUUGAGGGUGUUGAGUGUAUCAGGAGCACAAAGGACAGCGCUGGCCUUUGUUUUACAUAUGCUAUGCAUGUGCUUAGUGCAUCUAUAUGCGUGUCUGCUUUGGAUCCAGAUUUUGAGGGAUAUGGGAGGCACUGAGGACAGCACAAGUCAUGGCAUAGUCAGGCUUUAGUUUAGAGGCUGUGCCGGGCUCUUCUGCUUCUGAAGUGGGCACAUAGUUGCUGCCUUUCCCUCUGCAAGCACGGGUAGCUGCCAGCCUGCAGCAGGGUGUCUGCCAUGGCGGGGAUGGGCCCUCUGCUCUUUGGAGCCUGAGCACAGCUUUGCAAGUUCUCCCAGUGACAAAUGCAUUCCUAGCAUUGGAUUUUCCUGUGAACAAUGAUGUGCUACCUGAGCACCCUAUGUGCAGUUGUUAUACUAAUUAGCUCUGUACUUGUGUGUCGGUAAUUAUUUGGUAAUUCAGAGCUUCAUGUAAAUUUUCUGAAGUGUCUUGUUACUGUUUGAAUAUGUAUAGCUGCAAACAUCUCUGUAAAAUUGUAGCAUCGUUGCAUGUAAUCGUAAAUCAGAGCUCCCAGCACCACCCUCUCCAAAGCCAUCAUGUGCUUCCCCAUUCCAGAGCAUCGCAUAGCCGCUCCAUCCCUGGUUGCAGCAACACCAGGAACAGCAGAAAUGCUUCUCUGACACAGCUGCCAACAAUUAAACUGUGUGAGGCUUUGCUGGUGGAGGUUACGAAGAAGCCCUUAGAAAUCUGAAACAGCUUUUGAAAACAAGCACUGAAAAUAUCUGCCAGAAGCCAAGGAAUAGAUUACAGAUGGCAAACUGAUGUCUCCCGGACUGUCGGGGAAUGAUUUGGUUUGACAAAUGGCUGUGAUCUACUCUGGAGCUGUGCGGAAGAGGAACCAUCAGGCUGCAGUGUACAGAAAUAAUCAAGCAAGAUUAAGCAUGCCUGGUGCUGAUAUUUAUGGGCGGAUCUGUCCUUACAGCCCAUGGCCAGAUCCCUUACAGCUGGGAGAUGGAGGGCCCUGCAACACUGCCGCUUAAUUUCUGUGCCAUGUCUGUCAUCUGUGAACCCUUCAGACCUCCUCUAAGGGCUUCUUUGAAGAGAGAAGGAAAGGCAGCAUCAUUCACCUAUGGACCGGAGCACAGACGUGGUAAGAGAGGCUGCAGACAUUUCUGUCUGUGAUGCAGAACCUUGCAAAGCUUUCUUCAUUCACACCGUAUAAGUAAAUUCGGCCUGUGCCUAACUGCUGCAAACCUUUUCAAAGCAAAUAUAUUUGUACAAAGGAAUUCAGUAACAGAAAUGGAAUUUGCUCGUGGAUCAGAUUACUGUUAUUUCUGGCUGGAAGCAGUACCAGAAAUACUUGCAGGGAUUUCCACUUUGCCUUUGGAAAGAGGUUGCGUGUGUUGUUGGUAUAAAAGGAGCUCCGUGGGAGGUUAAUUCACGUACACAAAGAGACGGGAAAGGAGAUGAGACCAGCGAGGCUGUCACAGCCCUGGAUGUGGCUGCUGAGCUGUGCAUUGUAAUGCUCAGCCCCAGCCCACUUCUGAAACGCAGCUCUUCAGUUGUUGCUGUGAGCUGCAGUCACUGCUGUUUGGGAAGAGACAUUUGGAGCCCUGAGUCUGAGCUUUGUACGGCACAGUUCCCUCGAGGGCUUUGCCAGAUAACUUCAUGUAGAGGAUGCUAAAUGAAGUGUUAUUUUGAUAGUUCUUUGAGCACUGGUCAUUUGUGACGCUGCUCAAAGUGCUUUUACCUUAGAGCACAAACCUACAUCUGAUGGGAGCUUUGCGCCGGAGGUAUCUGGUGUUUUAAAAUAGAUGGAGUUGAUCAGAGUGAUCUGUAUUUUGCAACCAGCUUUAAACAAAGCCUCAUUUCAUUUCAAAGUGCUCUCCUGACCGACAGGCACUUGUGGAGAUGGACAGACGCACAGAGCUGCGGAGGGGCCGGUGCUGGGAUGGCAGCCGCACAGCCCGCCAGCAUGGCACCAAGUGCCUUUGGCCCCGGGGUGCUGGGACAGCGGGCAUCACCGGCAGAGAGAGGUGUUGGGGAAUACUGAGGACAGCCAUGCACUGCAGACUUCGAGUAGAGAAGUACCCAAUCUCUCUUAAUGUACAUGGAGUGUUCCAGAAUGCAGUCAGAGUCCUCUGAUAACAGCCCCAAACGUGGAUCAAAAUGGUGGGAUGAACCGAUGUCUGCGGUAUCGUAUCAAAGAACAUUUCUGUUCCUGGCAAAGUGUGAAUUCUAAAGCAAAGAAGUAUGAAAAGGUUUUACUUCAGAAAGGUGAGGUCUGCCACUAUGCCAGCGGGGUUGGAAAUGUUACUUUUCCCCCCAUAAAUGCACUUGGUAUCUCCGAACACCCAGUGAAGGCUUCUCAGCUGGCAGCAUUUUCCCGCCAUCUUGGCUGAGUUUCUCCAUCCCCCUGUAAGGCCCGGGCACACAGGAGUGCGUCACCGAGGAGUGAAUGUUUGGGCUCUUCUGAAAUGCACGCAGACUCGGUGCACCCCAGGGAGCACUGCAGGAGCACAGCCACAUCCUGUGCCCACACCGAGUGCAGGGAGACAGGAGGGAAAGGUGUCAUACAGAGCACUGAGCUAAAAAUAGAGCUGUGGCAAUCUCACACAUUGCAGCGAGCGCACUGCAGGCAGGAGAGCACACACAGCUCUGGCACUGAAAGCCUGAGAGGGUCUGCACGUUGCCAUAGGCUUCACAGCAGGACAUCAGCAUGCUUCUCUCUCUAAGAUGGAGGCAGAGGGAUUGCUUGCUUCUUCGUUGCUACGGUUUUGCAGCUGUAAUGGCAGUACGUUGGCACUUACAGGUCUUGUUCUGGAUCUUAACCAUCGCAUAAUUAAACAAGGCGUCUGUGCCUCAGCCUUACACAUGUGCUGUACCCUUCUGAGGCCAAUGCAAAAGCUUCCAUGCUUCUGAGCCGGUUUUGUUGUGCACUGUAAAAGAUUUUGUGAUUUACAUACAAGUCGUACGCUCACCCUCUGCAUGCUCAGCACCGCAUCCAUUGGAGAAACUGCCACAGAAAGCAAAGGUUUAUGUGAGUGCAAUCUUUAAUGUUUGUGAGCUGGAACCACAGCACGGGUCUUCUGGCUUCAAAAACAGAUCCCACUGAAGUUCUGCUGACCCAGAGCAGCUGAGCUUUAUUACAGAGAAGCAUUACUCUCUGGGGAAUUGCAGGUGGGAACACAGCAUCCUUCUGGUUUCACAUUGCACACAGCUGCGCAGGGGGAUGCUCACGUAGGCUGAAAGAUGACAAAAUGCCAUCACAGGUUUUCCCCUGAAAAGAAAACUCCUUGAAGCUGGCUUUUGCUGUUCCUGAGAUAUGUCCAAGGUGGUGGUCACAUACCAGUCAUUGCAGGUCCUUCUGAAGGUCCUUUUGAAGCUUUUUUUCUCCGGGAGAAAAGUCCAUCUGUAUUAUUUGUGCUGGUCUGAGCUUCAAACAGAAUGGCUGCUAGGAACUGACAGCAGAGCCUGGUAUGUAGCAUGGCCCUGUGAAGGAGUGGAUAAUCCUCCGUCCUUAAAUAUAGCUGCUAUUUGUGUUGGCAGUGUGCAGACUUCCAGGGAUUUCACCAGUGAUCCCAGACAUAGCACUUCAAAGUGCUGCUGAGGAAAUAUCUAUGCAAAUUUCGUUCUAUUUCAAAACUUCUCAACUAAAUAACGUGAGUGGGCAAAUAUGUUGCAGCCUAUGGAAGCUUAAUAUAGAAAAAUGUUCAAAAGGAAAAUAUCCAGAGAGUAUUUUUUCUAUUACACAGACCUGGAAACUGUAUCAGCUCAUAGCAGGUGGUGAGAUUAAGCCCCUGCAGUCCAAAGGGAAACUGAGCAACCUACUUCAUCUUUCAAACUUUCACAAUCUGUGGGCCAGACAGGAUCCACCCAAUGGUCCUGGAGGAGCCGGCAGAAGAAUUCCUUCAUGGAAGGGCUGUCAGACACUGGGAGGGAUUCCCUGGGGCAGCUCCAUCCCUGGGGGUGUUCAGGAGGUGUGCAGACAUGGAGCUGAAGGAUGUGGUUUGGUGGUGGGAUGCAGGAGGGCGGCUUGGUGGCUGGAGACCCUUUCCAGCCCAGAUAAUCCUGUGGUUCUAUCAUUUUUUGAAUUGAGGGGUUAUACCAAUUGUUCUUUCAGCUUAGUUUUCCCCAGUUAAUUUCUUUUUCACGUCAAACACACUUUGCAGGCACCACACCAAAACCCAUUCUAACAUUUCUGUAAGCUUGAUGCAAUGGCUUAGUUGCCAGCCAGCAGUCAGCAUACUGGUAAUCACUGCCCCUUGUCCCAUGUGGCCCCCCCAGUAUUAGCAAGGAGCUGGGGCCUAGGCUCUGCAGGUGUUGGCAGCAGUGUACAGCAGCAUACGGCAGCAUGUGGCCGUGCAUGGCACAGCCCGGCAGCACAUGGCAGCAUCUGGCUUGCUGAGCAUAUUGCAAGAGGGGACAUGCUGCAGAGCUAGGCCUUGCCAGCACCAGUGGGACCUUUUUUGCUAAUACUACUUGUAGUGGCAGUGCUAAGUCACGGCCUGAAACAGUGACUGAGCACCUAGUGGGAAGGCAGGGCCAACCCAGGGGAGCUCAGCUGCAUGCAGUGCACCUGAAUGACUAGAAGGGUGGAGCCAGGAUCACCCCUUCUCAGACCUCAUUUAAGGGUUGGCAAUGGAGGUGAGGGUAUCUCUUGCUGGAGAUGAGCAGCUCUUUUCCUUUAUUUCUGCAUCUAUGGCUGCUGUGUUUGGUCUUGUUCUCACUUUCUGUAGCCAGAGACUUUGCCAUUCUGCUUUUGUCAUCUCAUUAGAGCAUUACACCACUGCACUGUGAAUCCGUUUCAUGCCAGAAGGGUGCUAAGAAGUUACCUUCCUCUCUGCAGGAAUGCCAAUGAAUUUUCUUGUAUCAAUGAGAUCCACAGGACCGCUAAGUUCCUUUCUUCAGUGUAGAUGUUUAUAACAAAUGUUCUUACACAACUCAUGGCAUCCUCUGCUCAAGGUCUUCACUGCUGUCCCUGUAUCUGUGCAUUCCUCAGACUGGGCCCCAACUUCUUCCAGUUCUCCUAUGCAAAGCAAACACACUGAGGAGCCACAUCUGCACAAAUAGCAGCAGGGCAGUGUCGGGUUUCCUCCCCUUCUUCACAGUUGUUUGAAAAAGCAGCUGAUGGUGUUAAUGGAAUCAGAUGUUCUGUGAGCCUGGGGAGCAGAGGUUGCACUGUGACCCUCUGUUCUGUAACCACCGAACAGACACUGAUUAAAUUCUCUUAGUUGUGUUCUAAAGAGAUUACUUUGAAACGAAAUCAGAGCUGAAUGAAACAGAGCAGGUGCCCGAUGAGGAGUUGAUAUGAUAUAGUCCAUAUCUGUUUUGAUCUCAAAAGCCAUGUUGUGUUUUCGUUGUUGUUGCUUUUGUGGGAUGAAAAGUCCAAAUAGGGCUCGGGAAUGUCUCUAUUAUUUAGUUGAAAUGUUUCAGUAUUUCUGGAAUCAGUAGCAGUCAGUUUGUUCCUUGAACUGCCUUCACAAUCAGUUUUCAGUUUAAGUUUCAGUUUUCCCUGGGAGCUGCACCUUUUGGUCGGUGCUUCAGAACUUGAAUGUGCAAGUGUCAGCAUCCCCAGGCAGAGGGCAGCAGCUCACAGCCUGGUGACCCACACAUCUGCAUUGCAUUAGGGGGAACACAAUCGCCCUGGAAGCUCUGCAGCUCCAACACUGCACACCAGUGAGGGGAUGCAGUGCAGCAUUUGCUCAAACCAAUGCUUAACAGCAUUUCAGACUAAUAAUAACAUUAUGAAAUGAAGUAAGUUGUUUUCGUUAUCUUAGCAAGCAGACGAACAUUUUCUGCAUUGUGUGGAAGCCGGUUUUCUGCCCUAACACCCUCCAACAGAAGACUUGCACCCAGGCCGUGGCAGGAUGGAGCCAUAGCAGGGGGUGGCGGGCAGGGCUGGGCAGGGGCUGUGUCUGGGUAUGCAGGAGGGCUGAGCUCCGGCACAGGAAGGUUUUGUGGCUGCAGUGGCAAGGGGAGCAUGGUGGGGCCCAUCAUGGAGCCUGAGGUGUAGAUGUCUGAGCCUGAUGAGGGUGCUGGGAGGUGCAGCAGGGCAGAGUGCUGCAGCUGUGCUGAAUGUCCUCUCCUUGAUGUCAGAAUACAGGGCUCUGGCUCACUCUGACGCUGACUGCUGCGAUCAGCUUGGAGUUAAUUGAACUAAAUGGGAAGUUUGCCAGGGAUGUGGUUAUUGUGGCUUGGUCAUUAGCACAAAGGCAGUGUACAGUUAGCUGCUGUUUGAUGCCUCAGGUGUUCGUGGUGACAGCAGUGAGUGGCUCUGCUCUCCAGAAGCAGUCUGAUCUGGAGGAGACAGCAGCCCUCCUGGCUCAGGAUGUAGGUACUGAAUGUUUGAAAUACAGAUAUUCCCCAUUGGAAUAAAUCUGUUUUAUUUUACAGAAUCACAGAAUGUCUGAGGUUGGAAGGGACCUCAAGGAUCAUGAUUCUCCAACCCCCCUACCACAGGCAGGGCCACCAGCCUCCCCAUUUAAUACCAGACCAGGCUGCCCAGGGCCCCAUCCAACCUGGCCUUGAAACUCAUCACUUACUUUGAGUAAUGUAAACUAUUGUGUAUGCUGGUGGUCCACCCUUGUACUCUUUGCAGUCCUUGCACACGGCCGUGGCUCUGGCUGGCAUCCGUUGGGGCAGCCUCACUGCACCCAUGCCAGCAAGCUGAACUUGGAGUGAAAUACAGAACAAAGCCUUAAUCUGGCGGUGCCGAUGGCUUCAUUGGGAAAUACUGACUGUAUUUUUAACAUAUACUGUUUUGUAGUGAUGAAUGCUUAAAGUCCUUCCUGUUGUCCGUAGCUGUUUCCCUCUGUACUGUGGUUAGCCUGAGAUCCUGAGCUGGAAUGAGCAGCAUGCGGAGAUCUAAGGCACAGUAAGCUUGGCCUAGAUGAUCUCAUGCAUGUCUGUAGGAAGGUAUAGAAACUUACUGGCAAUGCCAUGGAAUUUUCCUCUCUUUUGCCCUUUCAUGUGCGAAUGUUGAACCCAAAAAACGCCUUUUGUACCGGGGGGGGGGGGAGGGGUGUUUUGCUGAUUCCAAAGUGAAAUGCUUGUGAAAUUGUACCUGCAGUAAAUAGAACUAUGACUGCAUACUGAAAUCAAACCUCCAGUAACAAUAUCAGGGCAGAGCUGGUACACAAAGUGGUCUUCAUAGAGACAGAGUCAGGCAGAUGGGAAACAUUACACCAGUUUUUCCUCAAGGGUAGCACUUAAGUAGUUCUCCACUUACAGAAAGGAAUCAUAGCAGGUUUGUAUCAAAGUAACUUCAGCCAAAGUUAUUUCUCUAAGAGGAGAUAAACAUCUCUUUUGGAAUUUCAUUGAUAACAUAUCAGAUAUGAUAAAUAUGGCACAGGAGUAAUGAGAGCCUUCAAAAGAUGCUCUUUGUCCCUGGGCCCUUCUCUGGGGAACACUGCGUCCAGAGGGGACACGCUGGAACAGCAGUUGCCUGUACAAAGCGCAGAAGCAGAUAUAUUCAAGUUACUGUAUUAAAUAAGUGUGCUGAUCACAGUAAUGCACCCUGCGCACUGCACUGAGCACCAGCAUCCCCAGCCCCACACCCAAAGGCUGCCAGGUUUCACUACUCAGCCCUUGUCCCUCCACUCCUCAGGAAGCAGCCAGAGUGGGGCAAGCAUCCGGCUCUCCAGGAGUGAAGUGAAGGGAAGCAAAUGUCUCUGUGCCCCAGCUGAUGCUUUGAGGAUGGGCUGUGAGCAAGCAGAACACGCUGUGUUGCACCAGGCCACAGCUUUUGGUGUGCACUCUCAUCCAGUCUGGCUGCUGGAAGCCACGCAGGCACAGCAGGAGUCCUGCAGGAGGGCUGAGAUGGGGCCAGCAGCCACACACCAUUGCCUUUGGGCCCCCCAGCACCACAGCAGUGAUCUGCUGAGCCAUCAUGGUGCCUCUGGCCCACCAGGGCCUCAGGACAGCAGCCUCCUCCUGUCCUCACGUCAGCCCAAGGAGAUGGGACGACGUGUUGGCAAAAUAGAUGAGCUCAGCACAAAGGGCAAAGAGUAUGGUGAGCUUUCUGUAUUGACUUUGCUUUGUUCUCACUAAGAAAAAUGCCCUGAGAGUGAUGAGCCCUAAUGCAUUAGCCUUAGCAGGACAAAGUGUCAGCCAAAAACAUCCUAGGAAAAAGAAAGGGGAAGCAUCUAAAUGCUAAAACACUCCAGCUGACCCAUGUUCCAUUUCCCUUUUCUCAUUGCAAAUGUGUGGCUCUCCUCACGUCCAACCACAGCACAGAGCUGGGUUUAUGGCUGGGCACAGCAUGGAGCUGGGCUUAUAGUUGGGCACAGAGCUGGGCACAGCACAGAGCUGGGCAGCCUUUCCUGCAGCAAGAUGCUCUCCUGGCAGGACACAGUCCCACUGACUGUGGCAAGGCUGGGGUGAAGGGAACAGAGGGCAGCAGCAAGCAGCUCUGCUCUCAGCCUGGCUGGCACUGCUGUCCAUAAGGCCUCUGCUUGCUCUUUCAAAUGUACCUUCAUAAUCUUAAAUAAACUGACACUGAAGCUCUAGGUAAAACUGCUACAAAUGUUAGCCU
ensembl:lncRNA